AUUGAACGCUGGCGGCAGGCCUAACACAUGCAAGUCGAGCGAGCGGCGGACGGGUGAGUAAUGUCUGGGAAACUGCCCGAUGGAGGGGGGUAACUACUGGAAACGGUAGCACAUACCGCAACCCAUAAGAUGUGCCCAGAUGGGAUUAGCUAGUAGGUGGGGUAACGGCGCAACCAGGCGACGAUCCCUAGCUGGUCUGAGAGGUUGACCAGCCACACGGGAACUGAGACACGGUCCAGACUCAUACGGGAGGCAGCAGUGGGGAAUAUUGGACAAUGGGCGCAAGCCUGAGGCAGCCAUGCCGCGUGUGUGAAGAAGGCCUUCGGGUUGUAAAGCACUUUCAGCGGGGAGGCGUUACCCGCAGAAGAAGCACCGGCUAACUCCGUGCCAGCAGCCGCGGUAAUUC
rnacentral:rRNA from 1 species